AUUGAACGCUGGCGGCAUGCCUUACACAUGCAAGUCGAACGGCAGCACGGGGCAACCUGGUGGCGAGUGGCGAACGGGUGAGUAAUGCAUCGGAACGUGCCAUUGAGUGGGGGAUAACGUAGCGAAAGUUGCGCUAAUACCGCAUAUUCUGUGAGCAGGAAAGCAGGGGACCGCAAGGCCUUGCGCUCUUUGAGCGGCCGAUGUCAGAUUAGCUAGUUGGUGAGGUAACGGCUUACCAAGGCGACGAUCUGUAGCGGGUCUGGGAGGAUGAUCCGCCACACUGGAACUGAGACACGGUCCAGACUCCUACGGGAGGCAGCAGUGGGGAAUUUUGGACAAUGGGCGCAAGCCUGAUCCAGCCAUGCCGCGUGAGUGAAGAAGGCCUCGGUU
rnacentral:rRNA from 1 species